rnacentral:rRNA from 1 species
UUGUAAUUGGAAUGAUAGAAAUUUAAACCCUUUUUAAAGUAUCAAUUGGAGGGCAAGUCUGGUGCCAGCAGCCGCGGUAAUUCCAGCUCCAAUAGCGUAUAUUAAAAUUGUUGCAGUUAAAAAGCUCGUAGUUGAAGUUCUGCUAAAAGUAACCGGUCUGCUUUUAAUAAAGGUGGUAUCUUGGUGUGUAUUUAGCAAUGAUGUCCUUUACAGUGUUUUUUACUUUAUUGUAAUAAAGCAUAUUCAGGACUUUUACUUUGAGAAAAUUAGAGUGUUUCUAGCAGGCUAACUCUUUUAAUACUGCAGCAUGGAAUAAUAAGAUAGGAUUUUAGUUUACAUUAUUGGUUUUAAAAGCUAAAUUAAUGAUUGAUAGGGACAGUUGGGGGCAUUUGUAUUUAACUGUCAGAGGUGAAAUUCUUAGAUUUGUUAAAGACAAACUACUGCGAAAGCAUUUGCCAAAGAUGUUUUCAUUAAUCAAGAACGAAAGUUAGGGGAUCGAAGACGAUCAGAUACCGUCGUAGUCUUAACUAUAAACUAUGCCGA